rnacentral:tRNA from 1 species
GUGUGCAUGACCCUGCUUGGUAGUGGGCUUUGGCUUCAAACCAAAGGGGGAUGAAAUACGCCCAGCAGUUCGAUUCUGCCUUGCGCAC